rnacentral:lncRNA from 1 species
GUUCCACCGCUCCGGAAAAGCCCAGGUCUCCAGCACCAGCUCACGGUCCUGGUACUUCUGGAAAAGAGCAGCAAGAAGCUGCAAAGGAUGCAGGAUCAGCUACCUCAAGCCCAUAUGUUCUCAAGGUGCAUUACAAGUACACAGUAGCAAUACCAGUCCGGCUUGGAAUCAACUACAGCGAACUCCUGGACACGGUGUGCAAGAAACUGGAGCUCACACCAGAGCAUACAAAACUGAGGUGAGCUAUUGCCCUGUCUCAGCAUCAUCCUCAUCUUCAGGGAGCUUC